rnacentral:lncRNA from 1 species
AAAAUCUGCCUACACUUGUCAUGUCCUCCAAACCACGCAUGGCUGUAUUUAUCUGCCAUAGAGAGAGAGAAAGAGAGAGGGAGAGAAGAAGAAAGCCAAGGCUCUUCUCUCACAAGCACCAGAUCUGUACAUGAUCAAAUUCUGCUUCCUCUUCAAAGUCUGUGAAUCUUUUCCCUUCUCCCUCAUCUCUUCCUCACUCCAAAAAAAAAUUAUAUUCUCUCUCUUUUAAUUUCUCAUGGCAUCUCAUAAAGCCCAUAUUAUGAUACUUGUCAUAUUUUACUGUAAUUUUUCAUGAG